CACAAGCCACCCCGGUUCGGCAGCGUGUGUGUGGCACAGCAGUGCCCAGCGUGCGCCCGGGGCAGGUGUGGUGAGGUGGCUCGGGGGCUGCCAGACCCCUCGGCCGUGCACCUGCCGGUUGCUUCCCUGCUUUCCGCCGUGGCUGCAGAGCACUCCCUCCCAGCGCUGAGGAGCAGGAUGGGGCAGGAAGGCGCUGCCUGUGCCUCGGCCCGCUGAGGCAGGUUCCUGUGGGUCUGCAGGUGUGUUUGCUGCGGGUGAGGGUUUUGUUAGGGGGGAAGCUGGAGUCUAUCAGGGUGAGAUCUGAAACCGUGGUCCUGAUGCCAUGAGCUGUGCUGGUAACCGUUCUUUCCAGGAGCCAAGGUCACCAGGGUGCUGCCGGCAGCGCUGGUUCUCGGGCCGGCUUCCUGCCUGCCACAGUUGUGCAACGCAGCUGAUUAGGAGGCUCUGUUCCAGCCCAGCCGUGACUGUGCUGGGUGGUGGGGAGUUUACUGUGUGUGAUAAGGCGCGAGUGCCCAGCCCUGCUGGAGCGUGGCCUGGCACAGGCGUGUUGGAUGCUCCCCAGUGUGGGGAACGAUUCUGCCAGCAGCCUCUCGCUGCUUCCAGAGCCGCCUGCAACACCUCCUGCGUUCAGCAUCAGAAACAGCCCCGCGCCGUGGGGGCUGCAGGGCCCAGCCUCUUCCCAGCCCCCACUGCUGCCCCGGUCAUGGGAGUAUCACAACCUGUAGCCAUCCCAGAGCCUUUGAGCUCUGUUGGCUUUGCACAGGACAGUUGGCUGAGGCCUCAGUGCGGUGGGUGCCUGGUGGGGAGGCUCUGGCUGGUGGAAUUGUGCUGACGCCAGUGUCUGCCCCACAGUCUGCAGCCCCUCUCCCACCGUCUGCCUGAGCAGAGAGCAAAUCCUGGGGUGAGCAGCUGGCGGCACAGAUGUGGGCUCCCCCCGCUCCUGCCAGGGCACGGGGCCACGCUCCCACCCCCUUCCCAGCAUCUCCCCCCAGGCACAACGCUGAGGCCAAACCCAGCCCUGGAGCGGGCCUGACCCCUGGAGCGGGCCUGACCGAACACAGUGGUGCUGGGCAACGUCUCUGGACGGGAGCUCGUUGCUGUCGUGGGAUCCAUCCCAGCUGCUCCUGCCCUCGAGCUGCAGCACCAGCGAGCAGCGGAGGGGAGCACAAUCCCAACCCAGCACCCGGUCCUGAGCUGGGCCCAGCCCCAGCGUGAGGGGCAUUGGGCAGCACUGGUAAUCCUGCUGCGCCCCAGGGAUUACUACGCACUCUGGCCUGGGGAUUAAGGGAUUUCUCUUAAGUGGGGCUCGUGCAGCCUCUUGUAAAGCAGCUUGUGCCUAGGGGACUCGCUGCCUGGGCAGGAGGGCAGUUACAGAGGCAUCUUUGCACCAGGGAGCCAAGGCUAGGGAGGAUGCUGCCAGGGGAGCUGUGGGUGAUGCACCAGCCCUGUCCUUGGCGUGGUGCAGGGGUGAGCCUGGGUGAGUGUCCCAGCCUGGCUGGAGGAGAGGCUUCUCUGUAGAGCUCUGGGACUCCUCUGUUGAAGACACAGAGUCAGUGCAGGGAUGGUGUGGGGCUCAGAGAGCAGAUCCAGGAGCUGUCUGAGCUUGGGCAGCACUGUGCUGAGAAGAGGCCACUAGCUGUUUCCCCUCCUGAGAUGCUUGGGAGCAGAGAAUGACAAUCCACGUUGCUGAUACUGAGCAAUCAGGUGUCAGGGACACAGCAGGGCCUGUGUGUCCCUGAGCGGCUUUUCCAUCCUGUCUGUGCACUGGGGGGGGUUGGACGUUUCUGCUGGGGGUGGAGCUGCUCUCCAAAGCCCCACUUUGAGACAGGCUUUGGAGGAGCGAGGCCUCAGAGUGUUUGUAAACACCUUCCCUGGCCCAGGUAGGGUGUGAGGGUCAGGGUGUCUGGGUCAUUCAGCAGGGGAGAUGCUGUGCCUGGCCCUUGCUGUGUGGGGUUUCUCCAGGGGUCAGUCCAGGCCCCAGAGAGGUUCUUGCCACGCCAUGGGCCCAGCUCAGCACCCUCGUCCCUCUGACUCCUCUCACCUGCCCUUGUGGCUCCCAGUGCUGUGGCAACCACUGCUUCAGGCCCUGGGAAAGGGGAAGUGGUGCCGAAACCAGAAGGUCAGUCACGUCAGCAGUGGAUGCCUGUCUGCCCUCACAGCCUUGGAGCUGCCCUUCUCCUCUACCUUUCCUCCCAUCUGCAAUCAGACUUCUCCUAGGAGCCAGGGUCCCCUCCUGCCCAUGGGGAUGGCUUCCUCCCCGCUGCCUGCCCAGCUCAGUGUGCCCAGAGCUGCGGGGGCAAGCGUGCAGACCCCGCUGGCUCCUGGCAGCCGAGCUGCCUGCGGGACGCUGCCUCCUGCCCCAACAGGCUCUGGGGUUUGUUACUCAGGGCCGUGCCCUGCGUCAGGGAUCGCUCCUGGUUUGAGGGAAAGAGCUGUUGAUCCGGUUUGGGUUUGCUUAAUGCCUGUGGGGCUGAGGGGAUGCGGGUGCAGUGGGACUGGAAGGUGGGAGGGCUGUGCCUUCCUCCCCCUCCUCAGCUGCCCCCGAGGUCGGGAUCCAGGGCAGGACCCUCCCCUCGUGCUGCAGGAGCUGCAGCUCGUUGCUGGGGCUCAGCCGCCAGCCUGCGGCAGGGCCUGUCCGUGCACGGCUCCGGGACAGGCUGAGCCUGUUGGGGCUGUGCUGGGCGCGGGGGCCACGGCAGCACCCCCAGCUCCCCACGCCCCGCCGGAGCCGCCUCGUCUCCUGGUGCACCUUCCUUUAUGCAGCGCCGGUUGCUACGCGACCGCCGGCUCCCGAUGCUUAAUGCUCUAAUACGGAGGGAUAAAACCGCUCUAAAAAUACCGGGUGCCGGCCCCCCGCGGGGGCAGCGGGGCUGCCGGGGGCAGGCGGCCCGGGGCCGGGGGGGCUGCCCGGCACUUCCCGAACUCCCCGUCCUCCGACUGGUUUGGAGCCGCCGGCCGGAGCCGGGGUGCGGAGCGGCGGUGGUGCAGGCGGGGAUUGGCUGCGGCUGGUGCGUGGGCUCCUGCGGCUGGAGCUCCCCUGCCAGAGCCACCGUCCCCGGCUCCGCGGCCUGCACGCUGCCCGGCCGCCCGGCACAGCCCACGGCGUCCUGCGCGGCACCUCGCGGCAUGGGGACGGUCAGCGAGCUCUGCGCCUCCAGCUUCCAGGCCUUCCUGUGCCCCUCGGUGGCUGCCAAGGCAGUGCCCAGUGACCUGACCCCGGAGGAGUGCCAGGAGCUGGAGAACAUCCGCCGUCGCAAGCAGGAGCUGCUGGCUGACAUACAGCGUCUGAAAGAUGAGAUAGCAGAAGUGACGAAUGAGAUCGAGAACCUGGGGUCCACGGAGGAGAGGAAGAACAUGCAGAGGAACAAGCAGGUGGCCAUGGGCAGGAAGAAGUUCAACAUGGAUCCCAAGAAGGGCAUCCAGUUCCUGAUUGAAAACGACCUGCUGAAGAACACGUGUGAGGAUAUCGCUCAGUUCCUGUACAAGGGAGAGGGCCUCAACAAGACAGCCAUCGGUGACUACCUGGGCGAGAGGGAUGAGUUCAACAUCCAAGUCCUGCAUGCCUUCGUGGAGCUGCACGAGUUCACCGACCUCAACCUCGUGCAGGCGCUGCGGCAGUUCCUGUGGAGCUUCCGCCUGCCCGGGGAGGCGCAGAAGAUCGACCGGAUGAUGGAGGCCUUUGCGCAGCGGUACUGCCAGUGCAACCCCGGCGUCUUCCAGUCCACAGACACGUGCUACGUGCUCUCCUUCGCCAUCAUCAUGCUGAACACCAGCCUGCACAACCCCAACGUCAAGGACAAGCCCACGGCAGAGCGCUUCAUCGCCAUGAACCGCGGCAUCAACGACGGCGGGGACCUGCCCGAGGAGCUGCUGCGGAAUCUCUAUGAAAGCAUCAAGAACGAACCCUUCAAAAUCCCCGAGGACGACGGCAAUGACCUCACCCACACCUUCUUCAACCCCGACCGCGAGGGCUGGCUCCUGAAGCUCGCCCCGGAGCUGGUGCCGGCGUCCAGCGUUUCGAGCGCAGAGACCAUGAGGCCCUUGUCGGCAGUGGGUGCUGCCGGAGCAGGCGCCGGGAGCGUGUGGCGAGCUGCCCCAGGCUGCGUGCGUGCCCCCCUCCAUGCCACGGGCCAGCCCCUGCCUCACCUCCCCACGGCAUCAUCGCCUCGGCAUCGCGGCUCACGUGCAGGCAGCGUGCAUGGCAUCCCCCGCCCCGCGCCCUGGCUCCUGUGGCUUCUCUCGGCAGCUCUGGGGAACCCUCUGCCUGGGUUAAGUGAGGGGGGACAGGGUGCUGCAGGACCAGGGUCUGGCGAGGGCCUUUCCCCGGGGUGUGUUUGUGCCGUGUUGCCACCCUCUCGGGAUGGGAUAGGAGCCUUUACCCCUGCACCGUGCCCUGCCCUGGGACUGAAGGGUUGUCUGUGCCUCAGCUCUGGAGUGGGGAGCACGGGGAUAGCUCCAGAGCUGCCUCUCCGGUCCCUGAGCAGCCCAGUGGCCGCUGGCACGGGACAUCAGCACCCAGGGCUGCGUGUGGCUGCUGGGAGGAGAGGCAGCAGAGUGGCUGUGGGCACAGCUCACCCCUGGGGCAGGGAGGGACCCACGGCAGGGCCAUGGGGCAGGGGCCAGCCCCCACCGCCCCCAGCCCAGCAGAUCCGUCCCACAGAGCCACAGCGAGCCAGGGCAGGUCGGCCGCCGCGGCGGUGCCACCGGCCCAGCCCAGCCCCUCACGGCUUCGCCGCUGCCCCUGCCCACUGCCCCGCGGGGUGAGGGGGGAUCUCUGGGGGUUCCUCUUUUUAUUUUUUUUCCCUUUUUUGUAAUUUUCUUUUCUCCCUCAUUUGUAUGUUUCCAUGAUUUUGGCUCUUCCUUUCCUUGCCCCCAACUCCAGGAGGAGGCCGCGUGAAGACGUGGAAGCGCCGCUGGUUCAUCCUGACCGACAACUGCCUUUACUACUUCGAGUACACGACGG